AGAAAGUUACUAGCACUCUCCAUAUAUAAAUAUUAUAAACCAAUAAAAAGUUGGCUGUGUAUAUAUAAUAUUAUAUAUAUAUGAUAGGCCAAUUGAUGUUUUCGACUUGGCUGAGAGAAUGGCCUUUUGAAGUUGGUUGGAUAAUGGACUUGGCUGGGAGAAUGAAGGAAGAGUUGGCUGGGACAAGUCAAGGACUUGGCUGGAAGAGUGGUCAAGUCAGGCCCACGUGGGUCAUCUUGAUAAUUCCAAGGUGGGCAAGAGUUUGGAAGCUAAAAAUGGUCCUUGGCUUUGGGUAAUGGUUUUGUGGCUUACACAUAUAAUUAUUAUAUAUGUAGGUUUAUCAAAAUUGGAAUAUUAAGUGUUCUGUUAUAAAAUGAGCUGGUUUAUAUGCGAAUAUUGAGCUGCACGUAAAGUAGAUGAGACACAGUAUUUAACGAGGUUCGGCUAUGCCUACAUCCCCGGAGAGCAGCAGCAGUAACUUUUCCACUAUGUAAAAUAAUAGGGCUACAACUUUGUGUUUACAAUAUGUAUGGCUCACUCAAUUUUCUCUUCUUGGAGAAUUUCUCUCUUGCUCUCUUUCUUCUCAACUCACUCACCCUCAUUCUUCCUUCUCUUCCUCUUCUAUAUGUGUAAACUUCUCUUGAUGGAAGUAUCUAUUUAUAGGCCUAAGAUAUUGGUUGUUCACCUCACAAUAUAAGUGGUAGACAACAUCAUUAAUAUUCUUCAAUCAACAACAUCAUUAAUAUUCUUCAAUCAACAACAUCAUUAAUAUUCUUCAAUCAAUUGGGUAGUGGUUUAGUUUGGUGGGUGUGUGGUUAGGUUUAGUGGAUGUUAGUUGGCUAUGUGGGCUUCACCUAUUCUUCUUUACUUAUUCUUCUUUUACAACACUCCCCCUUGGAGACCACAUGUCCCUAGAUUGGUUGCCUCAUUAAAACCUUGCUUGGAGAAAAACCCAGUGAGGUAGAAAACUGAUGGAAGGAAGAAAAAAGAGUACAGCAAUCUGUAUAGCAUACUUCUGGAUGCUCCCCCUGAUUAAUAUCUCCCCCUGAUGUCUUCACGACUAUCUUUUGGAGUGAGAAUCUUUCGGAGUGAGUGGAGGAUAUAGCCAUUAAUAAUUCUCGUAGUUGAGUAAGUAAAUAUAUUUCCAGUGAGCUAUCUCUAUGUAAAUCGUAGAAAUUUUCAGAGUCCGCGUUUCUAACAAAACUUGGGCUAUUUGUAAGUUCACUUGAAAGAAUAUGCCCGUACAUGGUGUUAUGCGGAGAUAGCAUCAAAUAUACCUCACAUCAUCCCAAAAUGAUGGUGAUGGAGUUGAGCCCUAUCUGGAAAAUAUGAUGUCCGGUCCAAUAUACUUCCGAAAAAUCAUUAAAGUGUCCAACGGAUAAUCCUCAUAAAAAUGCUUCAAUACUUUCUUAGUAUAAGCAAGAAUCUCGUUGGCAUAAUGCUCGAUCCUUAAGUCGAGACAAAUAUUUCGCGAAUUCUGCAGAAGCUUUAAUGUGUUGCAAUCACAUUAUAAUCAAUGUACUCACUGAGGUAAUUUAUGCAUAUUAAUAUUGAGUACAAAUUUUGUGCUUCAAGCACAUGUCCUUUAGGGACUUGUUUUAUGCAAUGUCAAUCCUCUCAACGGAUUUUGUUUAAAAGGGAUAUAAUUUGCUACGCAUUAGGCGUGCAUAAUAUCAAUAUUGACAUGUCAAAGGAUUGUCCUUUCGGGACUUCAAUCCAUAUCAUUUGCUACGCAACAGGCGUGCACCCAUAUAUCUGUCAUGCUGCAGGCAUGCCACAGAUUAAUACAUACAUGUCAAUUAAUUUCUGGGACUUUAACCCAUAUUAUGGGACUUUAACCCAUAUAAUUUGCUACGCAUUAGGCAUGCAUAAUAUCAAUAUUGACAUGUCAAAGGAUUGUCCUUUCGGGACUUCAAUCCAUAUCAUUUGCUACGCAACAGGCGUGCCUCAUAUUGAUCACUGCUAUACCCAUAUUCUGUUCUUAUGGUACAUUAAUCUGAGCAGUGUAUUAUCAAUGUAUCCAACUUGCAAUCUGUAAAAUUUGCAUUAAUAAUUCAUGGAUACAUACAAGCCAUUCUUUUGGAACGGACUUAUAUUCCCAUUUGGUUACCUUUCAAGAUAAAAUAUCAAAUAAGUAUAUAAGCACAAAAUAACACAAGCAUUGCUUACAUCCUUAGGUGGGAGAAACUUUUCUCAAGUAUCAUUCAAGCUUGUAUCGGCCCAGUAAAUGUAGCGCUUGAUGAUCUAGUUAUAUCCUGCAAUAGUAAAAUCACAACUCUUUUCUCUGUCAAAAACAAAUAUUCCUCAGAGAGUUACAGAAAGAGAAAAAAUGCAAAAAAGAGAAGGUAAGCAAUCAGGGAAGGAAGCUGGUGGGAGCAGACAAUAAGCUCUCAUAUCUCCUAGUCUAGAAGGACUUCCGGAGAUUAGAGCAUAAGAUCGCCUUCACAGUUUCCUGAUGUAGCGGAAACAUGAUCAGGGAUAGUCUCGCUUCCUGAAUAGAUGAUCAGAGAUAGUCUUGCUUCUCGGGCAUAUUAAGUGCUCACUGAUAAGAAAAACAAGUAGAUAUCGCAUCACUAGGUAUGGAGAAAACUGGAUGUCUUCUGCAAAGAAAAUUUCGUUAGUAACACAUUUAUACACAAAUACAAUGAAUAGGUAGAACCGGUGAAUUUCAAAUUAACCAUAGGAAAAUUGCGAGAUUCUCGGGGUACUUUUGAAAAAGUAGCUCUGUGAAAUCCAUAAAGCAAGAUCGGCUUUUGAUGAAAAUAAUACUUUGAAAACGCCGAAAGUGCCGACAAACAUUUAAUGGAGGCCACGUGAAGUUUUGGAAUCUGGGAAAGAAAAAGAUAAUAUGGGGAUCCGAAAAGAUAUUGGGAUCCUGAAAAACUGUAGCCAUAUUUCCUCCUAUAGAUAUUGCCUUUGCAAAACUUGAUUGGAGCAAUUGCGUUUCAACUUGCUCCUUUCCUGUUAUAAUAAUUGCGCACAUCUUUAAAAUUUGCACCUGUGGUUUUUACGUCUUUUCAAAAUGACGGUUUGGAACCUUGUGCCUUAUAAGUUCAAAUAACCACAUCGACUCUCCCAAAUUUCAUAUUUCAACGUAUGGGAGCCCGGAACUUUUGGCCUGGGCUAAACACAAAACUCAGAAUUUAUUUGCCCUUUUCAAAAUGGACAUGAAAUAUGAAUUGAGUAAAAGCCACGCUAAUAUCUCAUAUAUUUGAAUCCGUGUGCUUCCGGCCCAGAUAUAACAAAAUAUGUGGGAAGCUUCAAUUCAUCGUUUUCUUAUGCCAAAGAAAUAUGUGGUGUACCACAAUUUGCAAUAAUACCUCAAGGAUUGUCCAUUUAACUGUUGGAACUUUAGGUUCUCAACACUGUUAGAUUUUGAACUUCAGGCCAAAAUCACAUAUUCUCAUGGUAUGGACAUUCAAUCCCUUUAGAUUUUGAACUUCGGGCCAAAAUCACAUAUUCUCAUGGUAUGAACAUUUUUACAAUUUUCUGUACAUAUUUCUGGACUUCAAGUCCUUACAUAAUUGUCCAUAUUUUGAGGAACUUCUGGCAUCUCAUUUAAUUGCUCAUCCAUGAGUUUAAGGAACUGCAGGUUCCCUUUUUGAAUGGUGAUAGUUUAUCCAAAAUGGUACAUAUUUAUGCAUACAUCACUAUUCAUGUAUACGGCACUAUUCAUGUGUACAGUACAUUUGCCAGUACAGUUAUCAUCCAUGUGUACGGCAUUAUGAACCAAUACGGUACUGUUACAUCAUUAAGGAACCCCAGGUCCUAAUUUACAUGUCAGGGAUCAAGGACCCUCAAGUCCAAUCACAUGUUUACAAAUAUAGUAUCGGAGAGACUGCCAGCUCUCAUAUUAACAUCAUCAUCAAGGAUCUUCAAGUCCUGAUGUAAUUGUAUGAUGAGGAUCAAGGAACUUCUAGUCCUGAUCUGCAUACUGUAAAAACUCAUCAUACAGCACAAUUAAUCCAUAAAAUAAUUUACUGGUAAAUAAAUUACUGGUAUGGACGAUAAACCCGCACCAUACUUUAAAUAAAUGUAAAUGUGCGGUAAAAUAAAUUCAUAAAUUAAAUUGCUUGUUGUAUGGACGUUAAUCCCGCACCAUACCUUAAAUAAAAUUAAAUGUGCGGUAAAGUAAAUUCAUAAAUUAAAUUGCUUGCUGUAUGGACGUUAAUCCCGCACCAUACCUUAAAUAAAAUUAAAUGUGCGGUAAAGUAAAUUCAUAAAUUAAAUUGCUUGUUGUAUGGACGUUAAUCCCGCACCAUACCGUAAAUAAAAUUAAAUGUGCGGUAAAGUAAAUUCAUAAAUUAAAUUGCUUGUUGUAUGGACGUUAAUUCCGCACCAUACCUUAAAUAAAAUUAAAUAUGCUGUAAAGUAAAUUCAUAAAUUAAAUUGCUUGUUGUAUGGACGUUAAUCCCGCACCAUACCUUAAAUAAAAUUAAAUGUGCGGUAAAGUAAAUUGUGCUUGUAUGGGCACUAAUUCUGCUCCAUACAUUUAAAUAGAAGUAAAGGCGUGGACGAUAAACCCGCACCACCCUUUUAAAUAAAUACUGUUGUAUGGGUAAUAAACCUACACCAUACAGUAAAUAAAAUAAAUGUGCGAUAAAGUAAAUUUCAUAAAGUAAAUUUCAUAAAGUAUGAGGGUCAAUUCCACAUCAUACUUUAAGUAAAAGUAAAUUUGAGAUAAAAUAAAGGCAAUUAUUGGUGGGUUCUUAUCAACACCACGAUCAAAUAACAUAGUAGAUAAUAUUAUUAUCGUUUGUGGAAGGCAUCAUGCUUGUCUCUCAAAUCAAAUGCUUUCCACCUGUAAUCUGCACAAAGUUGGUUUGCUCGUAUAUCUCUCUUGCAGACCACAGCUCCUCCACUACUUUUCUUCCUUACAUCAACAUAAGGGUUAGUAGUAUAGAUAAUAGUGCAACACAAAAAUUAUACCUGAGAGCUUCUCGUGCUGAUAACGUGUUAUAAAAUGAACUGGUAUAUAUGCGAAUAUUGAGCUGCACGUAAAGUAGAUGAGACACAGUAUUUAACGAGGUUCGGCUAUGCCUACAUCCCC
rnacentral:lncRNA from 1 species